rnacentral:lncRNA from 1 species
AGGCUAGGGGUCAAAUCUGAGCUGCACCUACCAGCCUACCCCACAGCCACAGCCACAAUAGUUUUGAGCCACAUCUAUGACCUACACCUCAGCUCAUGGCAACGGCAGAUCCUUAACCCACUGAGUGAGGACAGGGAUCAAAACCAGUCAGGUUCAUUACCACUGAGCCACAAGGGGAACUCUAAUCAUAUUUUAAUCUUUCAUAAAAGUUUGUCCGAUUAUUGGUUCCUCUCCACUCCUUGCAUUUUCUCACAGUACCACCACCCCUGCUCUCCCUGUGUCUUACUGUCCAGGACAAGAAUUUAUUUUAUUGGGUAGUAGGGAAAAAUUUUUUUAUAUAAGUUGUGGCUAUAAAUGACCAGAUCAAUCUAAAAGAUUUAAAGAAUAAUCGAAACUAAAGCUGAGUCUUAUAGCCACUCUUCACAUGAAAGGAGAUGGGGUCUUCUAUAAGGGGCAUGCUGUGGUGGCAGACACACACCCAGUUUACAUGGGUGAGAUACCCUCUUCCUUCUUUAGAUAAAGUCACGUUUCUAGGGGUAUGAGUUGUAUGGAAUGUUUAAAUCUUUGCAACAGUGAGGAAAUUAAAAUUAAAAUCUCAACUAUGAAAAAACUUAGUAUUAGAUUAAAACAAACCUAGGUAAAAUGUUUAUUGGCUAUAAACAUAUGACAAACCUGAGAUUAGUUGAUGGUGAUGUUAGGUUCAAGUAAGCCAGUAAUUUCACAGCUCCAUAUAUUUUAGAUGAAGUUUCCUGUAAAGACUGCAUCAUUAGUAUACUCUUAAUUCAAUUUAGGCCACACUUAUGGAUAUGCUUACAUUAAGAUAAAAGCCUUGUGCCCAUCCAUUUCACACUGUAAACUUUAAUUUCCAUUUCACUUCCUAUGUAGUCACCACCAGAGCUCUGCACUUAGCAUGCAUCCUGCUGACACAGAAGAAAUAUUUCUUUUCAAAUUUGUUUAAAUAAAGAGGGAUAGGAAACUGCACAGAAAGGGGGCCUAUUUUUCCACAAGUUGACAACUGGAGAAAGACCAAGUUAGAGAAUAAUAUAUUGGUACCUCAGUAUCCUUGGGCUCAAGGAAAAAACCCUCCUCCAGCACCACCCUGCUUUCCUUCUACCUCCGUGUGAAAAAGCAACAAUAUCCCACUCAGGGAUUCAGUUUACUGACAUGGAUUUUUUUUUGAGGCCUGUGAGAAGACAGAGAGGCCUAUUAUAGAAAAACGGACAAACCGCUUUCUUUUUUUUUUUUGGCUUCUUAGGGCUGCACUCAAGGCAAAUGGAAGUUCCCAGGCAAGGGGUUGAAUCAGAGCUGCAGCUGCCGGCCUACACCACAACUCAUGGCAAUGCUGAUCCUCGACCCACUAAGCGAGGCCAGGGAUCCAACCUGCAUCCUCAAGGAUACUAGUCAGAUUCGCUUCUGCUGCACCACAACGGAAACUCUCAUACAAACCACUUUCUAAAAAUGGAGGAAACUUGGGGGAAGAUAGGACUCAAAGCCUGGAUGUGUAGUUAUGAGGACUGUCUCUUCUCUGUCUCCCUGGCUCCAGGAAGACAAGUCAUAGUGGGUGGACCUUAGUGACGUGCAGAAUUUAGACUCCUGGGCUAGAUACAAUGCUCUAAACCAUCUUAGUACACUGGUUUUCCCACCAUUUACUUUAGUGGUACCAUCAAUUCCAUCUUUUCUCUCACUCUCAACCUGAUUCGGUCUGUGCCUUUGGGCAAGUAAUUGUACAUCUAAACAUGUUUUCUCAUCUCUAAAAUAAGAACAAGGUAAUAAAGACUCUCUAACUCUAGUAUGAUGGCAUAGGAUUCUAUUUCAGGAUGUCUCAACCUGAAUACUAGGGCUGACAGGACAACUUUUCAGAUUCAAUUUACCUCCAAUCAUUAACUAACAUUGACAAUCUUUUCUCACUUCUACCCCCUCCUCCCUUUAAAAUCAAAUCACCAUGCUGCUUAAAAAUCUACAAUCACCCUGUUCCCUAAUACAGUCAGUUACACCUUUUCAAAUAAUCUUUAAUUUGGUCUUUUGCCACAUAACAUCAUUCCCCAACUAUAGCAUAAGCAUAACACAUUCGUUUCUGUCUUAUGGAUUUUCUGCAUGAUUUCCUUCUUAUAAUCUCUUUUUCAGUCUACCUAUCAAUCAAAUCCCCCAUCCUCCAAAAAACUCACCUUGUCACUCUGGCCUUGAAUCUGUGACAUGAAACAAACCUACACCUCAGGGAAAUGCUCUCCUUGAGAACCUAAUGAACUCAACCCCCUACCCUGUGGAAGGGCUGGUAAAUCUCUGAGGUAGUGGGGUUACCUGCUGAGUUUUUUUAAUUAGACAGCUAUGUGUUUUGUCAGAAAAUAUGCUGAGCAUUUAUCUAAGAGAGUGAUUAUCUUGAGCUGCACUAACCUUCCACUUAGUAUCCUCUGACAUUUGUGUGACAAAGAACAAAUCAAUGGUUACCAACGUUAGCACAAGUAUAAAUUGCCUAUCUUAUAGGAAAAGCCUAUUUCACAGGAACAGUAAGUAGAUAAUGUAAGGCUGCAAGCAAAGUAUCUGUGCAUCAUGAUAAACUUAUAGUUAAAACACUUGGGAAAAGGUAGCCUUAUGUCACUUGACCAAAUAAACAUGAACAGGCAGCCCUCCAUAUCCUUAUAUGCAGAACCCCUGAGCAGGGAGGGCCCACUUUUCCACAAAAAAUAGUAUAAUAAUAUAAAGGACUUGAACAUGACAGGACUUUUAUACCCACAAAGUUGUUGGAAUGAAUACCCACGGGAUACUGAGGGACCACUGUGGUAUGUAUCAGACACUGUGCCAGGCUUACAGGUGUUAUUUCAUUUAAUCUUUACAACAGGCUCCAUUAAAUGACUUCAUUUACAAAUUAAAGUGAGGUUAGAAGACACAGAAGGUACAUAAGAUUUGGGACAUGGUAGAACUAAGAUUCAAAUCUGAAACUCCCAGACUCAAUGGAUGUUUGAGUCACAAUACAGUUUUAUUACAUUAGUAGUAUACUUUAAAUUUUUCCUUCUGGAAUUCUCUGGUGGCCUAGCAGUUAAGAAUCUGUCAUUGUCACUGAUGUGGCACAGGUUUGAUCCCUGGCCCUGGGAACUUCCACAUGCUAGGGGCACGACCAAAUAAAACUAAAUUUUAAAAAUUAAAAAAUUUCUUACUAUUCAUGUUUUAAAAUGAGAGGGUUACAUCCUGUCUGAUAAGGCAAAGCCUCUAUUUUCUAAAUGAUGGCUACUCAAAAACAUCUUUAAAAAAUAAUUGUGAUUGGACCCAGAAUAAUUUGUUCCGGUUUGUGCAUCUGACUAAUUUGUUCUGUGACUCACAAGAAAUCUUAGAAUAUUAAGGGUAAGAAUUUUUUAUUUGCCCUCUGAGUUCCUCAAAUAAUAAAGUUUUUUAUAUAAUAAAUACCCAAAGGUGAACUGAGUCAACCAAACAAAGCUGCACAGAGUGAGGUUAUACAGUUUCAUUUCCAAUUUACUUUUGAAACUCUGAAUAUGAGAAAAUGUAUUCCAAAAUCAACAUCUUAUGGUUCUACUAAGCUGUUUUCAACAUUAUUUUAUAUUAUUAAAAUGCUUUAAGGUAGACAGAUUACAAAAAGUGAAUACCUGAAUUGAAAGACAUAAACAUGCCUAAAAUUCAAAAUUAUGUAAAUACUUUGAAAAUUAGUGUACUUUUCAAGGGAUUAGAUUUGACAUUUUCCUGCAUCUGUACCAUUAAGAUGAAUUUAUUAGAUAGGUCUUGCAAAUGGCCAGUAGAAUUAAUUUUACAAAGGUGAAAGGGAAUCUGCUGGCUUUAUCAAUCUUGGAAAAGAAUUUGUUAUUUCUCCUGGACAAUCGUAACCACAGAUCCAAGUAAUUCAAGAAAGUCCUAUUUGGUGAUGAUGGGGUGACAAUGCCAUCUAGUGGCCAUUUUUCACUGCAGGUGACAUACCCUUUUCUGAAAUAAUGGGCAUGCUGAUGAGACUGGAGUAUCAUCAGAGAGGUAUACUUAAUCACAUCUCACUGGAUUAUAAAGUCUUUGAGGAAGAAACCACGUCUUAUGUAUUGUCUUUCUUUCUGGCUCUCAGUGAGUACAGCUGACCCUUAAACGUGGGAUUCAAGAGCACUGACACUCACCCCAAGUCAAAAAUCCACCUAUAACCUUAGAGUCAGUCCUCCCACAUCUGCAAAUUCAGGCAACCUGAGAUCACACAAAACUUACUAUAGUAUGUAUUUACUGAAAAACAUCCAUAUAUAACUAGACUCUUGCAGUUCAAACUCAUAUUGUCCAAGGAUCAACUCUAUUUGCUAAUUUCGACAUGAGAUAUAUUUAAGACCUACUCAACUAAAAAUACCAGAAAGAACUUUUCACUUCUUAUCUCUUUACCUUUCCCCACCUCUAACUUUUCUACUUCUGUCAGGCUACAAAACUGUAAAAACAGCAACUGUAAAAAUCAUGGUGGGACUAUUUAAAGUUUCUAUUCCAUGAACAUUAUCAAUUUAAAUAACAGAAAAUAAAAUUAGGCAUGACUGGCUUAUCCUUAAUACUAGAGACUAAAUAAAACAGAUGACAGUGAAUUCUUCCAGUGGCUAAAUAAACUGCAACCAAGUUGUUUGGAGAUUUUCAGAAAGAUAAACAUCAUUAUAAUUAUCAUUCCAACAGUUACACUUUAAAGUGCCAGGCAUUGUUAUAAAGUGCUUUCUGCACAUUGUCUCACGCAAUCCUCAAAACAGCAUUAUAGGAAUUUUCUGGUGGUGAAGCAAGUUAAGGAUCCAGCACUGUCACCACUGUGGCUCAGGUCACUGGUAUAGUGCAGGUUUGAUUUCUGGUCCAGGAAUUGCCACACCCUGUGGGUAUGGCCAAAUAAACAAACAAACAAAACAGUGAUACAAAGUGGUUAUAAAUCCAAUGUUAACAGUGAGAAAGCUGAUGAGCCAGAAGGAAGAGAGAGGGAGAAAGAAUUAAGACUUGGCUAAGGUUGUUUCUAAGAAGAAAAGCUGGUAUAUGAAACAAAGCAAUAUACCUGUUUGAGAACAAAAAACAAAAACAGUGAUAUUAAGAUUCUUUUAAAUAUGUAAAUAUUCCUAAUAAAAAUUACUUGGAAAGUUGGAUUGCUUUAGCAGAAUUUCUAGUUACUCUUUAGAAGACAUAUAUUGAAUGAGUCAAAUUUAUCAAGAAAGAGGGUUUAUUUAUCUAUUUAUAUGUAUCUGUCUUGGUCCAAAAAAUACUGAAGGUGGCUUAAGAAGGGAUCAGAGUAGCUGAAUGAAAAAUAGUCAAGAUCUUGAAUAAUAUUACUCUCCCCAAAAGGUAGCUGCUUCCAAGCUUGAUUUAAUAUUCUGCAUGUUUUCUCUCCGUUGCUUGGUAAAUAUAUUUGCUUCUCCUUUCUGCAAUCGACGUCUGACAGCUGAUUUUGCUGUUUUGUCAACUGACGUCUCACCUUCUGUUUCACCAAUUCCUAGAAAUAUUUCAUGAAUUAGUAUUACUAAUUAUUGACAUUUGACAAGGUAUAAACAUUCAAUAAAACAUUUAUAUUGCUAAUAUUUUUCAAAUUUCUGUUAAAAGCAUAUUUUAAAAUUCCAAAAAUUGACAGUACUAUGUGAACCAUCAAUAAAAUAAAACACCAACUGUUACAAAAACAGGAGGAAUUAAAUUCCUAACAAAUAGAUUUUAGCAAAAUAUAGUAUGUAGUUGAUAAUUCUUUGAAUAACAAAUCAUCAUAGUGCCACCUAGUGUCUAUAGGUAAAACUAGGAAAAACCAACCAACUCACCAACUAAAACCCCAAACUUUGUAGUGGAAAAUUAUGUUUGAAAGCAUUUACUACUGGUCAAAACAUAUGCAGGAGUGCCUUCAUAACUUGUGUAGAAAUGACCCUGAUGGUACAGUUACCCAUAGAAAAGUCCUCAUAUAGUUUCUGGAAGAAACAGUAUGUUUUCACAUGGUGAAUAACCAUAAAUUCAAGUUCUCUCUUAUCACUCAAGACAUAGGCUGCUAAUCUCACAUGAUUUACAAGAUGAAGAAAAAUCUGACCAGUCCAUUCACAAUAACUUUUUUCUUUCCUGUGAAUCACUAUAGCUUGUUAUUUAAUUGUAAUAUAACCUUGCCAUCAUCCAACCAGUCUCCUAAAGAAAGAAGUGCUGAAACUGUUGAAGCAAGGGUCUCUUCUUAACAGGCCCUAUCCUAUGCUAGCACAAAGAAUCAUUUAUUAAAAUUUUGUCAAGGUAAAAAUUAAAGAGUAAUGGAUUUGAGAGAUAAAAAGGGAUAGAAAAACUAGUCUAUCAAAUGUAUUUCCUGGACUAUAACUCUGGGUCACGUAAGUUAAAUGUAAACUUUGGAUUAUUUUACGUAGCAUUUAGGUAAAUGGGCUUUAAUAAGUGAUCCCUCUUUUUUCAGUCUAAUGAUUCUCAAUGAGAGGAAAGGUAGGAGAAGAGAAAGGGAACAGAAGAAUCAGAAUUCAAGUUCCUGCAGAGGCUGAUCGUCCAAGGGCCAGAAUCUUAUGAGGACCUGGCUGGUAUCCCAGAAGUUUCAGUACUGAAAGCAUUAGGAUUAGCUCAAAGUUUAACAUAGGAGUGACUGGCCUACAAACUAUCACAGCCUUUCUACCUUAGUAGGAAACCAUAAACCUAAAUCUUCUCAGCAUCUUCUCAAUUACAGCAAGACUAUGGAGAAAUAACUUCAGAAGUCUGAAGGAAAAUUAUCUCCAAACCACAACUCUAACACUUAAAUUCUCAAUCAAGUGUGAAGACAGAAUAAAAAGACAUUUUAGUAAUAAAAUUCCCCUCAAAAUUCACUCAAAUGACUACUAAACUCCAUACAGCCAAAGCAGUAAAAUAGUUAAGAAAAAGAGAUGAAAUAGGAAAGAUGCACCCAACAGAUAGGAAACUGAGACAAUAGUAGAGUGUGUGCAAGGAGUGGAUUCAGACAGAGGGCUCCAUGACAGUUCCAAGAAAAAAAAAAUUUCUUUUCUAAAUAUUCUACUUAAUUUUCCCUUGGUCUUUACUUCAGUGAGCCAAAAGACAAUCAAAUUCAGCAGCUAAAGAAAAUAAGAAAUAAUGUAUUAUUAUGCAUGUAUUCCUCCUAAUCCGAACAAUUUUACAAAUCCUACGAGGUUAACUUUCAUGUUAGAAAAAGUGAGAGAAGAACUCACACACACACAUAUAUAAAUAUAUAUAAAUAAAAUACAGUUGAUCCUGGAACAAUGAGGGUAUGAGCAGUGACCUGCUGCACAGUCAAAAAUCCAUCCACACCAGAAGCUCCUCUGCAUCUGUGGAUUCAACCAACUGAAUUUCUUUACCACUGAAAAGUCUGCAUAUAAACGGAACGGGUAUUCAAAUAAGUGUUGAUCAGGGUCAACUGUACAUGUGUAUCAUUUCAGGGAUACAUUUAAAAAAAUGAAUGAAAAUCAUGUACUUCAUUGUUUUGUUGUUUGUAGUUGGUGGCCAUGUGCAUUGGUUUUUUUUUAUCUCCAAUGGCCACACCUGUGCAUAUGGAGUUCCCAGCCUAGGGAUUGAUCAGAGCUGCAGUUGGCGGGUGAUACCACAGUUUACAGAAACAAUGGAUCCUUAACCUACUCAGUGAGACCAAGGAUCGAACCGCAUCCUCGUUGAUACUAGUUGGAUUCAUAACCCACUGAGCAACAAUGGGAACUCCUGGUCAUAUGCAUUUCUAUUUAAAUUAAUUUAUGUUAGGAGUUCCCACUGUGGUAUAGUAGGUUAAGAAUCUGACUGCAGUGGCCUGGUCGAUGCAGAGAUACAGGUUAAUUCCCAGCCUAGAUAGUGGGUUAAAGAAUCUGGUGGUGCUGCAGCUGCAGUGUAGGUGGCAGUUCUGGCUUGGAUCAAUCCCUGGCCUGGAAACUUUCAUAUACCAUUAAAAAAGCCAAUAUACUCUAAUGUUUAAUUAUAAUUUAAUUCUGUUACAUAUUAGAAAGAAUAGGAUUCAUAAUGCAACUUUGCCAAUAAACAGGGAACUAUAAAAUUAUUACAGGGGAAAAUGGAUUUUACAAUUCUAAUUUAAAGAAACACAGAGAAAUCUUUUCCCUGUGCAGACAUAAAACAAUUAUCAAAUUAGCAAAGGUAAUAAAUAAACUAUAUUUUCUCCUAACCUUCUACCAAAAAUGGAGUAUGACCUCAAGGAAAUAGUAAGACCAAAUUUCAAAGAUGCCAAGUUAAAAUGAUCACUUUGUUUCCAGUGAUUAGAGGAAAUCUUUUUGAUCAGUUAGGUUAAAGAGAUCUUCUUCCUCUUAUACUAAUGGCAAAUUUGUGUUUAUAAUGCAAUGUAUCUAUAGGCUUGAUCACAUUUAAAACAUAAGUUCUGCUGUUCGCUGUUAAAUUAAAAGGAUAAAGUCAAACUAAAGACAACGUUAGGGUCACCAUCUUACAUUCAGAAAGGGCAUAACCUAAAUUUAAGCAAGGAGCAGAUCAGUAAUUUUCUUUAUAUGUAUAGAAUUGUCAAUUUCACACACUGUAUUAGAUAAAAGGACUACGUUGACUCUAAGACACAAAGAAAGGAGGGUAAAAAAUCUCAGCAAGUUAUAUCAAAGCACAGGUGACAGGCAAUGACAAAGUAUGAGAAAUUCUUUUUUUUCUUUUAUGGCAGUACUGUGCAUACGAGUUCCCAGCCAGAGGUCAAUUGAGCUGCAGCUGAGGCCUACACCACAGCCAUGAACAACAUGGACCAUAGAUGAGGCCUAUGCUGUAGCCUGCAGCAAUGCAGAUCCUUAAUCCACUGAGCAAGGCCAAGAAUUGAACUACCAUCCUUAUGAGACUAACAUCAAUCCUGAAGCUGCUGAGCUACAAAGACUCCAGAAAUUCUUAUAGAGACAGGUGAUAUACUUAAAUAGGAGUUCCACUGUGGCAUAGAAGAUUAAGAUCUGCAUAUCUCUGUGGUGGUGCCAGUUUGACUCAGUCAGUGUAGUGGGUAAGAAUGGCAUUGCUACAGCUGUGGUGUAGGUCACAGCUGUGGCUCAAUUAGAUCCCCUGGCCUGGAAUUCCAUAUGCACAAGUGCAG